rnacentral:rRNA from 1 species
UACGUAGGGCGCAAGCGUUAUCCGGAAUUAUUGGGUGUAAAGAGCUCGUAGGCGGUUUGUCGCGUCUGCUGUGAAAACCUAAGGCUCAACCUUGGGCUUGCAGUGGGUACGGGCAGACUAGAGUGCGGUAGGGGUGACUGGAAUUCCUGGUGUAGCGGUGGAAUGCGCAGAUAUCAGGAGGAACACCGAUGGCGAAGGCAGGUCACUGGGCCGCAACUGACGC